rnacentral:rRNA from 1 species
AUUGAACGCUGGCGGCAUGCCUUACACAUGCAAGUCGAACGGCAGCACGGGAGCAAUCCUGGUGGCGAGUGGCGAACGGGUGAGUAAUAUAUCGGAACGUGCCCAGUAGUGGGGGAUAACUGCUCGAAAGAGCAGCUAAUACUGCAUACGACCUGAGGGUGAAAGGGGGGGAUCGCAAGACCUCUCGCUAUUGGAGCGGCCGAUAUCAGAUUAGCUAGUUGGUGGGGUAAAGGCCUACCAAGGCAACGAUCUGUAGUUGGUCUGAGAGGACGGCCAGCCACACUGGGACUGAGACACGGCCCAGACUCCUACGGGAGGCAGCAGUGGGGAAUUUUGGACAAUGGGCGCAAGCCUGAUCCAGCAAUGCCGCGUGCAGGAAGAAGGCCUUCGGGUUGUAAACUGCUUUUGUCAGGGAAGAAAUCCUCUAGGUUAAUACCCUUGGGGGGAUGUCGGUACCUGAAGAAUAAGCACCGGCUAACUACGUGCCAGCAGCCGCAGUAAGAC